GAUGAAGAACGCAGCGAAAUGCGAUAAGUAGUGUGAAUUGCAGAAUUCAGUGAAUCAUCGAAUCUUUGAACGCACAUUGCGCCCCUUGGUAUUCCAUGGGGCAUGUCUGUUCGAGCGUCAUUUGUACCCUCAAGCUCUGCUUGGUGUUGGGUGUUUGUCUCGCGGUUCUGCGCAGACUCGCCUUAAAACAAUUGGCAGCCGGCUUGUUAGCCUGGAGCGCAGCACAUAUUGCGCCUCUUGCUAGCGACUGCCCGGCACCCAUCAAGCCCAUUUAUUUGCUCUUGACCUCGGAUCAGGUAGGGAUACCCGCUGAACUUAAGCAUAUCAAUAAGCGGAGGA
rnacentral:misc_RNA from 1 species